AAAUGUACAUACGUCGUAUCGUGACUUUUAGUAGAUGACUAAAGUUAAGCGAAAUUGGGUGCGGCUAAUACUUGAAUGCACUUGGAUAGUUGCGAUGGUUGAAUGGAUUGUCUGACAGGAACAUCGUCAGUGGGUUGUAGCAUCAGCUUUCCAUAUCCCUAAUGCUGGCCUCCAGUCCCUCCAGUUGUGAAAAGGAGAAAAAUUUGCGAAACAAGUCAGCCAUGAAAACGUAACUCCUCUCCAAUUCUAGAUAAAGACCAACUCAUCUGUUUUAAGUCGAAACAACCCUAGUGUUGGAUCCAAAGUAUUGAGCCGAAAUAUGUCUCAAAUACAGAGAUAGAUAUAAAUGUAAAUACAUACUGAGCUCCGAUGUGGUUAAUUAAAGUGAAGGUAACUUGAUUCAAAGGUGGAUUAUACAAGGAGCCCUUUAUGAAUUUAUGUUAACAGCACUGCAAUUGUGUAGUUAAUGGUAAGCUUAUAUCAAUAAGCUAUAAAAUUCAGAAGAUUUAAGAUACCAACAUAUUUGAGGCGGAGAUUUAUAUUCUGUAUUUUGAAUGGUCUGAUUGACAUCAAUAAUAAUAAAUUUAGUAAGGUUCAAUUAAGCCAACAAAAUGAGGAGAAAAGCAGGAGUAGGAGCGAUUCACAAACAGAAACUUGAACAAGAGAAGUACAAGGACAAGGGAACAGAAAUUCAAGAAAAUCAAUUCGAGCAGAUGACAAAACAUAUGGAGACAUUCAGAAUUAAUUUAGAAGAAUUUGCAUCGAAACAUAAAUCUGAAAUUAAGAAAAACGCUCAGUUCCGUCGACAAUUCACUGAAAUGUGUGCAUCAAUCGGGGUAGAUCCCCUUGCAUCUGGCAAAGGUUUCUGGUCGGUUCUUGGGAUUGGCGACUUCUAUUAUGAACUUAGCGUACAAAUUGUUGAAGUAUGUUUAGCUACUAAUUAUAAGAACGGAGGCCUGAUUUCUUUGGAUGAAUUAAGAAAUAGAUUAGUACAAGCUAGAGGUCGUCGUAAGGAGCACCAAGAAAUAACAAAUGAAGAUCUCUUAGCUGCAGCAAAAAAGCUUAGGAUCUUUGGAAAUGGCUUUUCUGUCGUUUCAGUUGGUAGAGGGAAACACCUAGUCCAGUCGAUUCCUGGGGAAUUGAGUAUGGAUCAUACCGCUGUGUUACAGCAAGCCAGUUUAUCUGGAAAUGCUCACGUUUCUCAAUCGAUAUUAGAAAACGAAUUACACUGGGAGAGUGAAAGGGCCCGGAAAGCUCUCGAUCAUAUGGUAAAAGAAGGUUUAGCAUGGAUAGACAAGCAAGCACAGGAAGAAUCCUUGUAUUGGUUUCCAAGCAUGUUUGCAGCUUGCAUUGUAUCCAAUUCAUAACAUUCAUGUUCAAUGUUCAUGAAAAGACUGAGGAAUGAAGGCUUUUCUAGAUGUGACAUUAGUAUACUAUAUUGUCACCUGGUCCCAUCUCCUUGAUCAUACCUAAAAAAUUAAAAUUAUGAGAACAAUAGGAGCUAAAGAUAGCUACACGUUUUUGAAGGUUCAAGAUCAUUUCCUUGUCAUCUGAACGACCAUCGCAAUUGUCUAGACCGCUGUGAGAGAGG